rnacentral:rRNA from 1 species
GUUGGCGGGGUAACGGCCCACCAAGGCUACGAUCGGUAGGGGUUCUGAGAGGAAGGCCCCCCACAAUGGGACUGAGACACGGCCCAUACUCCUACGGGAGGCAGCAGUGAGGAAUAUUGGUCAAUGGGCGGAAGCCUGAACCAGCCAUGCCGCGUGCGGGAAGGAGGCCCUAUGGGCUGUGAACCGCUUUUGCCUGGGGGCAAUAAGGGCGUCGCGCACGUCCGAUAAAAAAACCAGGUUGAAUAAGCAUCGGCUAACUCCGUACCAGCAGCCGCGGUAAUACGGGGGAUGCGAGCGUUAUCCGGAUUCAUUGGGUUUAAAGGGUGCGUAGGCUGUGCGUCAAGUCGGGGGUGAAAUUCCGGUGCUCAACACCGGGGCUGCCCUUGAUACUGUCGCGCUGGAGUGCGGAUGCCGCCGGAGGAAUGAGUGGUGUAGCGGUGAAAUGCUUAUUUUUCAGAAAAGAACACNGANNGNGAAGGCAUNNGGNGAANCCGNAANNGANGNNGAGGCAAAAAGGCGGGAACCUAUUUAAAGGGAUNANAUANNNNGNUAUUNNAAAACNGAAAGACACCUGGAUGANACNNCNNNNNNNNNNNNNNGGACCUACCAAGCGAAAGCGAUAAGCCAUCCACCUGGGGAGUACGUCGGCAACGAUGAAACUCAAAGGAAUUGACGGGGGCCCGCACAAGCGGAGGAACAUGUGGUUUAAUUCGAUGAUACGCGAGGAACCUUACCCGGGCUCGAACGGCACCUGAAUCACCCAGAGAUGGGCGAGUCUUCGGACAGGUGUCGAGGUGCUGCAUGGUUGUCGUCAGCUCGUGCCGUGAGGUGUCGGCUCAAGUGCCAUAACGAGCGCAACCCCUGCCGCCAGUUGCCAUCAGGUGAAGCUGGG